rnacentral:rRNA from 1 species
UACAGAGGUCUCAAGCGUUGUUCGGAUUCAUUGGGCGUAAAGGGUGCGUAGGCGGCGCGGUAAGUCGGGUGUGAAAUCUCGGAGCUUAACUCCGAAACUGCAUUCGAUACUGCCGUGCUUGAGGACUGGAGAGGAGUACUGGAAUUUACGGUGUAGAGGUGAAAUUCGUAGAUAUUCGGAGGAACACCAGUGGCGAAGGCGGCUCACUGGUCCAUUACUGGACGCUGAGGUGGCGAAAAGCGUGGGGAGCAAACACGG